UGGGGAAUUUUGGACAAUGGGCGAAAGCCUGAUCCAGCCAUGCCGCGUGAGUGAAGAAGGCCUUCGGGUUGUAAAGCUCUUUUAGUCGGAAAGAAAGAGUUGCAAUGAAUAAUUGUGAUUUAUGACGGUACCGACAGAAAAAGCACCGGCUAACUACGUGCCAGCAGCCGCGGUAAUACGUAGGGUGCGAGCGUUAAUCGGAAUUACUGGGCGUAAAGGGUGCGCAGGCGGUCUUGCAAGUCAGAUGUGAAAGCCCCGGGCUUAACCUGGGAAUUGCGUUUGAAACUACAAGGCUAGAGUGCAGCAGAGGGGAGUGGAAUUCCAUGUGUAGCAGUGAAAUGCGUAGAGAUGUGGAAGAACACCGAUGGCGAAGGCAGCUCCCUGGGUUGACACUGACGCUCAUGCGCGAAAGCGUGGGGAGCAAACA
rnacentral:rRNA from 1 species